rnacentral:lncRNA from 1 species
GCUUCUUGCAAAAGAAGCACUUCGCCUGGCUCUGGUCGGGCUUGCACUUCUUGGUCUGACCCUGUGCAGAUGUCCCAGCAUGCAGCUGCACCUUCUUAUUCUUCUUCUUCUUGUUCUUCUUCUUCUCUUUCUUAAAGGGUCGACGACCAGAAGAAGACCCUCCCACAACAUUCACCGACUCCUUAUGGAGCUGGUGAUCCUUCUCAAAGUUCUGCAGCAAUCCCAACAAGCCGUGGUAGUUCACUGCAG